CCUACGGGGGGCAGCAGUGGGGAAUAUUGCACAAUGGGGGGAACCCUGAUGCAGCGACGCCGCGUGAGUGAAGAAGUAUUUCGGUAUGUAAAGCUCUAUCAGCAGGGAAGAAAAUGACGGUACCUGACUAAGAAGCCCCGGCUAACUACGUGCCAGCAGCCGCGGUAAUACGUAGGGGGCAAGCGUUAUCCGGAUUUACUGGGUGUAAAGGGAGCGCAGACGGCUGUGCAAGUCUGGAGUGAAAGGCGGGGGCCCAACCCCCGGACUGCUCUGGAAACUGUAAAGCUGGAGUGCAGGAGAGGUAAGCGGAAUUCCUAGUGUAGCGGUGAAAUGCGGAGAUAUUAGGAGGAACACCAGUGGCGAAGGCGGCUUACUGGACUGCAACUGACGUUGAGGCUCGAAAGCGUGGGGAGCAAACAGGAUUAGAUACCCGAGUAGUC
rnacentral:rRNA from 1 species